rnacentral:rRNA from 1 species
AACGAACGCUGGCGGCAUGCCUAACACAUGCAAGUCGAACGAGACCUUCGGGUCUAGUGGCGCACGGGUGCGUAACGCGUGGGAACCUGCCCUUAGGUUCGGAAUAACUCCCCGAAAGGGGUGCUAAUACCGGAUAAUGUCUUCGGACCAAAGAUUUAUCGCCUUUGGAUGGGCCCGCGUUGGAUUAGCUAGUUGGUAGGGUAAAAGCCUACCAAGGCGACGAUCCAUAGCUGGUCUGAGAGGAUGAUCAGCCACACUGGGACUGAGACACGGCCCAGACUCCUACGGGAGGCAGCAGUGGGGAAUAUUGGACAAUGGGCGAUAGCCUGAUCCAGCAAUGCCGCGUGAGUGAUGAAGGCCUUAGGGUUGUAAAGCUCUUUUACCCGGGAUGAUAAUGACAGUACCGGGAGAAUAAGCUCCGGCUAACUCCGUG